rnacentral:misc_RNA from 1 species
GCAAAAAUCCCUCUCUCUAUCUCAGACGCACAGAAGCCGCUUCAAAAAUCUGCAAUGGCGACACUAGGUAGAUUAUCGAGAAGAGUCAUAGCGUCAACUAUCUCCGGUCACCUCCGCCACCACCAGAGUCACAAUCUCAUCCGCCGUUCGCUGGCGACGGAAGCUCAGGCGGCAAUAAAUGAAUCGCCGGAUCGAGUGAAAUGGGACUAUAGAGGGCAGAGGAGGAUCAUUCCAUUAGGUCAGUGGGCACCGAAAAUAGCCGUCGAUGCCUACGUGGCGCCGAAUGUUGUCCUUGCUGGUCAGGUGACUGUCUGUGACGGCGCUUCUGUAUGGAACGGAGCCGUCCUAAGAGGAGAUCUAAAUAAGAUUACAGUAGGGUUCUGCUCUAGCAUUCAGGAAAAAUGUGUGGUUCACGCUGCUUGGUCUUCUCCUACAGGGCUGCCAGCAGAAACAGUAGUAGACAGGUACGUUACAGUUGGUGCAUACUGUCUGUUGCGAUCCUGCACAAUUGAGCCAGA